rnacentral:rRNA from 1 species
GGGGGUGCCGGGGUUGUCGCUGACCUUCAAGGUUGUGCACGCCCCGAGCAUUCUCUCAUUCACAUCCAUCACACCUUUGUGCAUCACCGCGUGGGCUCCCUUCCCUUAGAAGGGGGGUGCUUGCGUUUUCACACGUACACACAAUAGCAUAGAAUGUUCACACUUGCGCUCACACGCAAAUCAAUACAACUUUCAACAACGGAUCUCUUGGCUCUCGCAUCGAUGAAGAACGCAGCGAAAUGCGAUACGUAAUGUGAAUUGCAGAAUUCAGUGAAUCAUCGAAUCUUUGAACGCACCUUGCGCCCCUUGGCAUUCCGAGGGGCACACCCGUUUGAGUGUCGUGAAAUCUUCAACCUUCUCUACUUCUUUUUGAUUGGGGAAAGGCUUGGACUUUGGAGGCUUCUGCUGGCAUCUCUUGAAGUCAGCUCCUCUUAAAUGCAUUAGCGGGGGUUUGCUUUUGUCAAUCCUUGACGUGAUAAAGAUUUUCUACGUCUGGGGCCUUGGCUUUAAGACCUGCUUCUAAUGGUCUCAUCGAGACGCUCGGUCGAGUUUUGCCCCUCAGUUGGGUGGGACUUUGGCCCAUAUGAACCAUUUGACCUCNAAUCGGGUGAGACUACCCGCUGAACUUAAGCAUAUCAAUAAGCGGA